GCAGAGGACAUAACUUAGUGGUAGAGUGUCUGCCUGGUGCACACAGGACCUGAGUUCAAUCCCCAAUUCUGCA
rnacentral:tRNA from 1 species